rnacentral:tRNA from 1 species
ACUAUUUUGGCAGAAAAAUGUAAUGAUUUUAGAAGUCGUAAAUGUAUAAUAAUAGAUUAUAUAAAUAGUA